GAUGAACGCUGGCGGCGUGCCUAACACAUGCAAGUCGAACGGAGUCCAGCCUUUAAGACCUUCGGGUCAAAGAUGGGAAGACUGUGUGGCGGACGGGUGAGUAACACGUGGGCAACCUGGCUCCUAGAGGGGGAUAACAGACGGAAAUUUCUGCUAAUACCGCAUAAACACACCCUGCCGCAUGGCAGAGGCAGAAAAGAGAAUCGCUAUGAGAUGGAGCCGCGUCUGAUUAGCCAGUUGGCAGGGUAAGAGCCUACCAAAGCGACGAUCAGUAGCCGAUCUGAGAGGAUGAACGGUCACACUGGAACUGAGACACGGCCCAAACUCCUACGGGAGGCAGCAGUGGGGGAUAUUGCACAAUGGGGGGAACUCUGAUGCAGCGACGCCGCGUGAGUGAAGAAGUAUUUCGGUACGUAAAGCUCUAUCAGCAGGGAAGAUAAUGACAGUACCAGAAGAAGAAGCCCCGGCUAACUACGUG
rnacentral:rRNA from 1 species